rnacentral:tRNA from 1 species
GGAUGGGUGGCAGAGUGGUCUAAUGCGCACGCCUGGAAAGCGUGUAUGCUGAAAGGCAUCGGGGGUUCGAAUCCCCCCCCAUCCGCCA